rnacentral:rRNA from 1 species
AACGAACGCUGGCGGCAUGCCUAACACAUGCAAGUCGAACGAUCCCUUCGGGGAUAGUGUCGCACGGGUGCGUAACGCGUGGGAACCUGCCAUUAGGUUCGGAAUAACUCAGAAAAUUUUGAGCUACUACCGGAUAAUGUCUUCGGACCAACGAUUUAUCGCCUUUGGAUGGGCCCGCGUUGGAUUAGCUAGUUGGUGGGGUAAAGGCCUACCAAGGCGACGAUCUAUAGCUGGUCUGAGAGGAUGAUCAGCCACACUGGGACUGAGACACGGCCCAGACUCCUACGAGAGGCAGCAGUGGAGAAAAUUGAACAAGGGGCGGAAGCCUGAUCCAGCAAUGCCGCGUGAGUGAUGAGGGCCUUAGGGUUGUAAAGCUCUUUUACCCGGGAUGAUAAUGACAGUACCGGGAGAAUAAGCCCCGGCUAACUCCGUG